GAGGACAACUGCUUACUCGAGCACGGAGCGCGGAACUGAGGUAGCCGCGAGAGGGAGGCCCCUGCUUCUCGGCGAAGGAGCGCGCUGGACCAAUCACAGAAUUCAUGAUGUUAAUGUUGAUGAAUGUUCCACAUCAAACAAACACAGAACACCUCCGUGACUAUUUCCCCAGACUUUGAAAGAAAACCUUACAUUUUCAAAGGAAAAAUAUGCUUUGUGUAUCACAAUGUGUUAUUAAACAUCUGCAGAGUUACAUAUUA